UGCAAGAUAAAAGUGAAUUAAAAUGGGUC
rnacentral:piRNA from 1 species